UCCGAUAUGGUGUAGUGGUUAACAUCGUUCGCUCUCAUUAGAAUUCUCCGGAGUUCAACCAGCGCCGAACAGCCCCGGGUUCGAUUCCCGGUGUCGGAA
rnacentral:tRNA from 1 species